CUUGACAUCACAAAAGCUUAGAUAUACAGAUCCAAAAGGAUUUACAGGCCGUGCUCCUGAAAGCUGACAGUUCGUUAACGUGAAGAGCUUUCUGUGGAAUUAUCAUGUAAUUUUAAACCUGAGUGUCAUGUAGACAGCACGCAGUGACUGCCUCCUGUCAGCUGGAACUGAGUGGCAUCCUGGUAUCCCUUGACAACUAGUACAUGCUGACACAGUGCGCUGCAGAGAUGUGACGUCACAUCUGGCACGCCACCAGCAACGGCGAGGACGGAGUCCUGAAGGGUGGAGGGUUUAAAACACGCAGUGACUGCCUUCUGUCAGCUGGAACCGAGUGGCGUCCUGGUAUCCCUUGACAACUAGUACACGCUGGUCAUACACAGUGCGCUGUAGAGAUGUGACGUCACAUCCGGCACGCCACCGGCAAAGAAGAGGACGGAGUCCUGAAGGGUAGAGGGUUUAAAAAUAAAUUAUGCACCAUUUGUUUGUAUUAAGCUGUCUGAGGAUGGGGGGAACUCCAAAACGUUACAGAGGAAAUAAAGAUUUUGUAUUUUAAGACCCA